GACGAACGCUGGCGGCGUGCUUAACACAUGCAAGUCGAACGGAAAGGCCCUGCUUGCAGGGUACUCGAGUUGCGAACGGGUGAGUAACACGUGGGUGAUCUGCCCUGCACUUCGGGAUAAGCCUGGGAAACUGGGUCUAAUACCGGAUAGGAGCCAUUUUUAGUGUGAUGGUUGGAAAGUUUUUUCGGUGUAGGAUGAGCUCGCGGCCUAUCAGCUUGUUGGUGGGGUAAUGGCCUACCAAGGCGGCGACGGGUAGCCGGCCUGAGAGGGUGGACGGCCACAUUGGGACUGAGAGACGGCACAGACUCCUACGGGAGGCAGCAGUGGGGAAGAUUGCACAAUGGGCGCCAGCCUGAUGCAGCGACGCCGCGUGGGGGAUGACGGCCUUCGGGUGGUAAACUACUUUCGCUAGGGACGAAGCUUUUUGUGACGGUACCUAGAUAAGAAGCACCGGCUAACUACGUG
rnacentral:rRNA from 1 species